AGACGUCUACAUUAGAUACCCGGGUAGUCCCAGCCGUAAACUAUGCGCGUUAGGUGUAUCGGUGGCCACGAGUCACCGAGGUGCUGAAGGGAAACCGUGAAACGUGCCGCCUGGGAAGUACGGUCGCAAGGCUGAAACUUAAAGGAAUUGGCGGGGGAGCACAACAACGGGUGGAGCCUGCGGUUUAAUUUGGACUCAACGCCGGACAACUCACCGGGAACGACAGCAAUAUGUAGGCCAGGCUGAAGACCUUGCCUGAAUCGCUG
rnacentral:rRNA from 1 species